AAAGAGGUUUUUUUAAAAACCACAUUUCUUAUAGAAACAGAAAAAGU
rfam:Sus scrofa chromosome 2.